rnacentral:rRNA from 1 species
UACAGAGGUGCUCAAGCGUUUGUUCGGAUUCAUUGGGGCGUAAAGGGUGUGUAGGUGGCGCCGUAAGUCGGGUGUGAAAACUUUCGGAGCUUAACUCCGAAACUGCAUUCGAUACUGCGGUGCUUGAGGACUGGAGGAGGAGACUGGAAUUCAUGGUGUAGCAGUGAAAUGCGUAGAGAUCAUGAGGAAGACCAGUGGCGAAGGCGGGUCUCUGGACAGUUCCUGACACUGAGACACGAAGGCCAGGGGAGGCAAACGGG